UACGGAGGGUGCAAGCGUUACUCGGAUUUACUGGGCGUAAAGCGCAUGCAGGCGGUCUAGUUAGUCUGAUGUGAAAGCCCAUGACUCAAUCGUGGAAGUGCAUUGGAUACUGCUAGACUGGAGUACAGGAGGGGUGAGCGGAAUUCCUGGUGUAGAGGUGAAAUUCGUAGAUAUCAGGAGGAACAACGGUGGCGAAGGCGGCUCACUGGACUGUAACUGACGCUGAGGUGCGAAAGCGUGGGGAGCGAACAGG
rnacentral:rRNA from 1 species